rnacentral:misc_RNA from 1 species
CAGGGUUUCUACUUUGUACUUUAUAUUUUUAUCCACGCGCCGAAAAUACAAAGGAUAUUACACGCUCCACGAGGAGCUUUCAGAGGAAGUAGGAAGAAGGAAGCAGGAAGCAGGAAGCAGGAAGCUAGCCAGCAGUAUAAAUUGUAUAGCAGUUACAAUGAAGACGCGUUAAGAAGGGAAUCAAAUCCCACUGUUGCAGAUAAGCAAUUGAGCGCCAAAGGAAGUUCAUUUUGUUUUUCCGCUGCUCCUCCUCAUUUACUCACUCGAAACCUCGCAGGAUAAUCCAUAGCGCCUCCAAUCUCUCUCCUUAACUUCUCUGUUUCAAAAUAUAUUUAAAUGGAAGCAUCUAUUUUGAACACAAAAUAUGAAGAUAAUGAUGGAAAGGCGUUGAAAGCUUUGUUUGAGGCAUUUGGCUCCUUGUUUUCUCUUCAAGAUAUAGCUUCUGCUUAUUACAAGGCAGACCAGAAUGCAGAUUUGGCUUGUGAAAUCCUUUAUGACAUGCAGGAAAGCACCUCUACCUCUUCUGUUGUUGCAACCAAUGGAGGGGGAAGAAGUGUAGAAUCUUCCAAAUCAUCUUAUGAUAUAAUUUCUACGAGAUCGUGUUAUGCAAAUGGAAAGUUCAGAGCUUCAAAGCAAAAAUGGCGUCCAGUUUCAGGAGGCACUAUUUCAAGCAUUCUUGGCAAAGAAUAUACUAAGUCCAUGCCAGUAGCCAGCAGUUCCUGUAUGGGAACCAAACCAAUGAAAUUGGAUGCAAAGGAAUUGCCAGCGUCUGAACUAUGGGGAGAGGAAACUAAACUGAACCCAUCAAAGAAUUAUCAUAUGUAUAAGGAUAUGGAAAAUUUUCUUUUCAGAAUGCUAGGAGAUGGUUUUCAGCUGGAAAGAGAUGAGAUUCGACAAGUUCUUGAUAAAUGUGGAUAUGACAUUGAAAAGAGUAUGGAGAAACUGUUAGAUUUGUCUGCAGUGAAUUUGGAAGAAGAGAACAAAUGCCUUGGUAAAUCCACUGGAAAGAUGGUAGAUGUGCAUUCAAAUUCUGAAGAACAUUCAUAUCAAUGCAAAUCACCACAAAUGAAUUCCCUCGGGGGUGAUGCAAAUGGAAUUUCAAACAUAAAUGAUGGAGGACAACCUGAACAAGACGAGAGAAACGAUCUUCAGAAGGAAGUAUUAGUUGCAUUGUUUAAUUCUGCUGAUAGAUCUGAAGAAUUAUCUAGAAGAGCAGCAAAGGGAGCAAGGAGAUCUAAAGUAUUUGGAGAACUAGUGGUUGAACCUCCAAGAGACUUUACCUUAGAACACAAGACUGAUUCUGUUGGUUCAAAGCAAGAUAACGGCAAUGGUAUGUACUUUCUUGCAUGUUUUGUGAAUCAUCAUUGACCAAGUAUUUUAUAUGGAACUUUGAUGCAGGCAUGCAGCCAGCAAGAAACUUUAGAGAAAGCAAGUUUAAAGAAAUUUAGAAUCAUAUAAAUAAGCUGUUGGACUAUUAUUCUGUGACUUUUAUGAGUCACAAUUUUUAACCUUGUUGGAGGGGUGUAGGAUGUACUUCUUGGUUAUUACUUUUACUUUUUUACUUUAAUGGUUUUAUUUAUUGUUGAAGAGUUCAGUAUUUAAUUUUCUUAGUUUUGCAUUUGAAGUCAAAAUUACAUAAAUAUUAGGAGUUUGUUGAGUGUAUAUUUAUAUAUAUUCUUGUAGUAUUUUAUUUUCAGAGUUUUAGCUAGUAAAAAGGAAAAUGAAUUUACAACAAUUGCUAUUUUGGAUUGUGUAAUGUAAUUCAACCCCAGAUGUUAUGCUUAAGGAAAUAUAUUUAAAACUUAGAAUAUCAUCACCUUUUUUUUGUCCAAUUUUGCAAGCUGACUUUUAUAUAAUUUUAGGUCUGAAAUCUCUAUUAUGAAACCCUAAUUAAGUUACAUCAAUUUAUUCACAACUUACUGAUCACAAUGCUAAACCUCAAUUGCAGAAAGCUCAUAAAAUCUGUUCUUUUAUCUGUUAUUUUACUUCCUAAUUGUAUUCAUUUGCAAACCCUCGUAUUCCAAGUUCAUUCGUACUCUUCUGAGCUUUCAAGCCUACCCAAAACCAGUCCUAAAUAUUCUAGUUUGCUGGAUGUCUUAUAUCAACCCUGCAGAAGGUAUGAACACUUCAGAAAUAUGGGGCUUGAUGUCCUUUUAACAGAAUCUCGUUGGUUUUCAUCCUGAGUCAAUUGUCAAUUGCAGAUGAAGAUGAAGAGGGUAGUUACCAGCAGCUUCGUAGGGCUGUGAAGGAGUAUCGGGUCACAAUGAAGGAAUAUUAUAAAGCUGCUGUCAACGCAUUUGCUAAGGGAGACUAUGAUUGCUCUAACAAACUUAUGGAUGAGGGACAUUUUUUUCAUGGAAAGGCUCGCGAGGCAGAUGAAGAAUCUAGUCAGAAGAUUUUUGAAACCAAAAAUGUAGAUACAAAAGACGAAUUGACACUUGACCUGCAUGACCAUGGUGCCAAGGAGGCAAUGCGUCUUUUGAAGUGUCAUCUUUCUUCACUUUCAGGCAUCUCAUCAAUUAAGUACCUGAAGGUCAUCAUUGAGACAGAUGAGGAAGAUACCUCAAAAGGGGCUCGUAGGAGAUUGGUAAGUUUUCCUAAUUUAUUGAACCUUGCCUUUUCUGUCUUGAAUUCAAUGGGACUGAUGGUGUGAAUACUAUUUUCGGUUCUUUUACAAGGAUUUAAAAUUUUCAGUUUGAUAGAAUGAAACUGAUAAUUGUAAUUUUCUUUUUGAGAAGGGAUAUUUGUAAUUUUUAUAUUACCUCUAUUAUAGAAUUGAAAUUCAUGAUUCUCCACAAAGAUAAAACAUAAAUGAAGGAAUGCCAUGAAUCAUUAUUGAUUUGUAAACUGAAAUCAUUUUAGUGUUGUCAAGAGCUAUAUGUUUGCCACACUCUUCUCUAACUUCUUGUAUGUUGAUUUGUUUUGAUACUUAUUGUAAGAUUUAUUCAAUAAGCAUAUUCUAAUCUGUAAGCUUUAGUGCUAGAGUUUCAAGGUUUCUUUUGAUUUCCAACCUACUACUUCUGAUGAAAAUUAUAGGGUUACAUUGACUUCAAGUUAUUAUUUUGCAUAGGUUAUGAAGCUGUUGGAGAAGGAAUCAAUCAAGUGGGCAGAAGGAGAAAAUGCUGGGACACUAUUAAUUCGUUUAGAUAACAUCAACCGAAAAUCAUUGAGUUUUGCUAAAAGAUAGUAUGCAGCUUGGGUAGUAUGCAGCUUGGGAUAUUCGUGAUUGCUCAUAAAUUUUUCAUUUUCAACAAAUUGCAAGUCACUAUCGUGAUGAGAAAUGGGAAAAGAUUUCCCCAGUGAGAUACAUUUUGAAAGUCAGGAGUUUUCUGUUUAUUUUAUAAGCUGCGACUCGGAAAUUAUUGUCAGACCUUGUAAACUCGAGCAUCAUUCGUGUUGUCUCAAACUCCAGAAUAGCACUAGAUGAGGUCUAGGCAUUGUUUUGGUUUUAAUUUUUUGCAUUUUGAGUAUGAAAAAUGCCUUUUCAUUUAGUUUUUAAUUUAUCAUCACACGAGUAAUAAUUUUAAAAAAUAGUUACUGAGGAUAGGUUUUUUUAUUUUUAAAAUCUAUAUUUAAUGC